GUCCUGGGGAGAGUCCAGGUUGGCGGUUCCUGGGGCGGGGCCAGGAUAGGGCGAUCCUGGAAGCUGGGCUUCGGAAGCGUGCAGCGCCUACCAUGUGCCUGACAAGGGAUAUGUAACGGUGAGAAAAACUAGGUGUGGUCCAGGCCCUUCAGGGACUCAGGGGCUCGUGGAAGAAGUGGAUAUUGAAGUACUUAUCACACAAAGGAGGAUAAAAGUACGAUAGCGAUAUCUACCACGAAGCUGUUGUUCCACACCAGAACCAAAUGAGCGCAAGAUCUGACAAAAAAAAAAGUCCCUGUAUCCUGAGAUGGAGUCACCUGAGAAUCCACAGCAAGUCCUAACCAGGGAUGGGUCUGGGUGAUUAAGGAAGAUUGGCUUCAGAACUGGGCCAGGGGCACUGCUUUGCUUUUGCUGUUUUGAUCAGCUCUCUGCCUGCAGGAGACGAGGAAAACCAAUGGGAACAGAUAGGGUCUCUCUCUCUGCCACUCAGGCCAGAGUGCAGUUGACGCAGAGCAGGGGAGCCCUGAAAUGGAGCAUAGUGUGUCCGGAACUGGUGGGUUCUUGGUCUCACUGACUUCAAGAAUGAAGCUGCGGACCCUCGGGAUGAGUGUCACAGUUCUUAAAGGUGGCUUGUCUGGAGUUUGUUCCUUCUGAUGCUCUGAUGUGUUCAGAGUUUCUUCUUUCUGGUGGGUUUGUGGUCUCACUGGCUUCAGGAGUGAAGCUGCAGACCUUCAAGGUGAGUGUUACAGCUCUUAAGGCGGUGCGUCUGGAGUUGUUUGUUCCUCCCGGUGGGUUCAUAGUCUCGCUGGCUUCAGGAGUG
rnacentral:lncRNA from 10 species